CCCGCACAAGCGGUGGAGCAUGUGGUUUAAUUCGAAGCAACGCGAAGAACCUUACCAGGUCUUGACAUCCCCUGACAACCCGAGAGAUCCGGGCGUUCCCCUUCGGGGGGACAGGGUGACAGGUGGUGCAUGGUUGUCGUCAGCUCGUGUCGUGAGAUGUUGGGUUAAGUCCCGCAACGAGCGCAACCCUCGACCUUAGUUGCCAGCAUUCAGUUGGGCACUCUAAGGUGACUGCCGGCUAAAAGUCGGAGGAAGGUGGGGAUGACGUCAAGUCCUCAUGGCCCUUAUGUCCAGGGCUACACACGUGCUACAAUGGCCGGUACAGAGUGACGCGAAGCCGCGAGGUGGAGCAAAUCGCAGAAAGCCGGCCUUAGUUCGGAUUGGAGUCUGAAACUCGACUCCAUGAAGGUGGAAUCGCUAGUAAUCGCGCAUCAGCAUGGCGCGGUGAAUACGUUCCCGGGCCUU
rnacentral:rRNA from 1 species